GCAGGGCGUGGUGGCGUACACCUGUAAUCCCAGUAGCUUGGGAGGCUGAGGCAGGAGGAUUUCAAGUUCAAAGCCAGCCUCAG
rnacentral:sRNA from 1 species